UACAGAGGGGGCAAGCGUUGUUCGGAAUUACUGGGCGUAAAGGGCGCGUAGGCGGCCUUCUAAGUCAGACGUGAAAUCCCCGGGCUCAACCCAGGAACUGCGUCCGAUACUGGAAGGCUUGAAUCCGGGAGAGGGAUGCGGAAUUCCAGGUGUAGCGGUGAAAUGCGUAGAUAUCUGGAGGAACACCGGUGGCGAAGGCGGCAUCCUGGACCGGCAUUGACGCUGAGGCGCGAAAGCCAGGGGAGCAAACGGG
rnacentral:rRNA from 1 species